CAACCGGAAGGUUACUAAGACUGGAUAGGAAACAAAAAGGCAUCUUUUUGUUUUUAAAAGACCUUCUUACGAAGGUAUGCUUAAAGAGGGGCUUGCGCCACAUUAGUUAGUUGGUAGAGUAAAAGCCUACCAAGACGAUGAUGUGUAGCUGGACUGAGAGGUUGAACAGCCACAUUGGGACUGAGACACGGCCCAAACUCCUACGGGAGGCAGCAGUAGGGAAUUUUCGGCAAUGGAGGAAACUCUGACCGAGCAACGCCGCGUGAACGAUGAAGUAUUUCGGUAUGUAAAGUUCUUUUAUUGAAGAAGAAAAAGUAGUGGAAAAACUAUAUUGACGUUAUUCAAUGAAUAAGCCCCGGCUAACUAUGUGCCAGCAGCCGCGGUAAGACAUAGGGGGCGAGAGUUAUCCGGAAUUAUUGGGCGUAAAGGGUGCGUAGGCUGUUAGAUAGGUCUAUAAUUAAAUUUCAGUGCUAACUGCUGUCUUGUUAUAGAAACUGUCUUGACUAGAGUUAGAUAGAGGCAAGCGGAAUUCCAUGUGUAGCGGUAAAAUGUGUAAAUAUAUGGAGGAACACCAGAAGCGUAGGCGGCUUGCUGGGUCUUUACUGCCGCUGAGGCACGAAAGCGUGGGUAGCAAACAGGAUAAGAUACCCUGGUCGCCCCCGCCAUAAACGUAGAGUCCUAAGUGUCGGGGUAAAACUCGGUACUGAAGUUAACACUUUAACUCCUCCCCCGGAGUAGUACGUGCGCAAGUAUGAACCUUAAAGGAAAUAACGGGCCCCCCCACAAGCGGUGGAUCAUGUUGUUUUAUUCGAAGAUACACGAAAAAUCUUACCAGGUCUUGACAUACUCUGCAAAGCUAUAGAAAUAUAGUGGAUGUUAUCAGGGAUACAGGUGGUGCAUGGUUGUCGUCAGUUCGUGUCGUGAGAUGUUAGGUUUAGUUCUAAAACGAGCGCAACCCUCGUCGUUAAUUGUCAGCACAUAAUGGUGGGGACUUUAACGAGCCUGCCAGUUAAACAUGUGAGGAAGGUGGGGAUUGCGUCAAAUCAUCAUGCCCCUUAUGAUCUGGGCUACAAACGUGAUACAAUGGCUGUGACAAAGAGUAGCUGAAACGCGAGUUUUUAGCCAAUCUCAAAAAAGCAGUCUCAGUUCGGAUUGAAGUCUGUAACUCGACUCCGUAAAGUCGGAAUCGCUAGCAACCGGAAAUCAGCUUGUUGCGGUG
rnacentral:rRNA from 1 species